rnacentral:misc_RNA from 1 species
UCCGUGUUAACCACGGCAGUCCCUCUAGAGUGCCCAACUUAAUGCUGGCAACUAAAGGCAAGGGUUGCGCUCGUUGCGGGACUUAACCCAACAUGUCACCACACGAGCUGACGACAGCCAUGCAGCACCUGUCUCUCGGUCAUAUUGCUAUGAAAACGACGUUUCCGCCGCGAUCCGAGGAUGUCAAACCCUGGUAAGGUUUUGCGCGUUGCUUCGAAUUAAACCACAUGAUCCACCGCUUGUGCGGGCCCCCGUCAAUUCCUUUGAGUUUUAGUCUUGCGACCGUACUUCCCAGGCGGGGUACUUAUCGCGUUAGCUCCGACUCUGCAGGGGUCAAUUCCCACAAGGUCUAGUACCCAUCGUUUACAGCGUGGACUAC